GAAUGCUUUCAAAGACCUGCUUAAACAAAAGCUGUGAACCUAAAUCAGUCUGCUCUAUUAGAAGCUGGAGGAGUGGUAUGUAGCAUACUGUAAGGAUCAACAUCAGUAUGCAGGAUGUAGCACACGAUCCUGGAGGCCAGUACAUCCAAGACACAGUGGUUCUGUGUUACUUUAAGAAGACUGUGAGAUGUAAUCACUGCAGGAGGUGAUUUUUCCUUUGAUAGCUUCUGCCCCAUGGAGCUGCUGAGCUUGCUCAAAAGGCACCAGCUUCCAGACAUGGCUGUAUGUGGCAGACCAAGGCAGUACCAGAAAGAGAGAGGAAGCCUGAGGAUCAUUCAGAGACAUGAUGUGAUAUCCAGACCUCACAGGUGUUGGAAAAGGACUUCCUGAAAAUCACAGAGGACUGGACAGUGUUCACUGCAAAUCAAGGACAUAUAAAAUCACACUUGGAAGAAGGGCUCUGCCUGCCAGAAAACAGCCAUUUGAUCAUGUUUUUAAUGUCCAUCUCACUUUACCUUGUCACUUUGUGUGUUUGGAAGCUGACUAUAUGAUUGGAAAAUAAAAAUGAAAAAUAAAAGUUAUAUUCUACAAGGAGAAAACCUAUUAAGAACUUGGUUGCCUGUGAAGAGACAGAAGGAAAUCUCUGUACCUUCCACUGUUGGAGAAAGUACAGGCAGAGACAUAUUAAGGCUCUGUUUAGUCAGUCAUAUCACACCACUGAUGGACUCAUUUAAGCUGCUGCAGAGUCUAACUGAGGCUAUCCUGAACUGAUUCACGGGGAACUAACUACAGGAAUGUAUGGUUUCUACCCAACAUUUUACAGAUGACAGCAAAAUCAAGUCCAGUACUGAUGAGCUAGGGCUGAUGUUUUUUCAGCACUGGAAUGAGAAUCUAA
rnacentral:lncRNA from 1 species